CCAUCAGAUAUGCUGAUCAAUUCACUUGCUUAUUCGUAAUUUCUGCAUCAUAAUUUCUUUUGAAGAGAUUUGCAGGCAAUAGAAAAGGACUUCAGCAUUGGAGAAGCAACCUUGGAGAAUUCAGAAUCAAUAGACAGACCAAUUGAUACAGAAUAUGUUACCUCACCCUUGGGCCUUUGGUUUCUCAUC